UACGUAGGGGGCAAGCGUUGUCCGGAUUUAUUGGGCUUAAAGAGCGUGUAGGCGGCUUGGUAGGUCCGUUGUGAAAACUCGAGGCCCAACCUCGAGACGCCGAUGGAAACCAUCAAGCUAGAGUCCGGAAGAGGAGAGUGGAAUUCCUGGUGUAGCGGUGAAAUGCGCAGAUAUCAGGAAGAACGCCCGUGGCUAAGGCGGCUCUCUAGUACGGUACUGACGCUGAGACGCGAAAGCGUGGGGAGCGAACAGG
rnacentral:rRNA from 1 species